CCGGACCUCCAGCUCACUCGGGCAUUGAAAACCUCAACACAGCCUGUUCAUUCCCCAACACUGGGCCUCUUCCACAUUGGCUACUGCCCUACAGGCCAGAAGUGCCUCUAUAGGAGGGAGAAGGAGUGUGGCUUUUGGCUGGUACGUAGGAUGCGGGGUGAGGCUUCUGUGGCUGGCUGCGUAGCUGGAGUGACUGGGUGAACCGGGGCUGCUGGGGUGGGAGGAUGGAGGCCUAAUGGUGAGGGGGCUGGGCCUGAGACUCCAGCCUAGGCGUUGAUCCAGCCCUGCUCCAGUGUGGCACAGAGGUGAGCCCCAUCUGGAAGCUGUUUCAGGACCUGAGAAAAGAAGUUGGUGACAGGUAUCUGGACACAGAGGAAAAUUGGCCCACAAGUGCGCCCCGGCCACACUGCAGGGGGCUGAGGGUUGUUGUUUAUAUACUUUAAACUUCAGGAAAUUGAGCCACAAGGAGGCCAGGACUUGGCCAAAGUCACCUAUAAGUCACUGGUGGUGCUGGGGCAGGUUUUCCUGUCUCCCAGGCCCGGUCUACCCCCUGGCCUGUCCCCUAUCCCACUUGAUGACAUUCAGUACAUGGGCUAGGAGUGGGUGAGCUGGAGAGGGGAGCACAUCUGUCUCCUACCUCUGCAGAAACCACCACAAGGGAUCAGGCUGAAGGCCCACCUAGAGCAGGGGUUGGUAUCGACCUUCCCCACAGCCUCCUGGCU
rnacentral:lncRNA from 1 species